rnacentral:ncRNA from 1 species
CAGGUGCCCUUUACCAAGGGAUAAUAGGGAAUCAGGUGCAAAUCCUGAGCAGUCCCGCUACUGUGAGCGAUGAGUCGCCCCCAGAAGGCCACCGGUCAGCCGGGAAGGCGGGCGGCGACGAUGACCGCGAGCCAGGAGACCUGCCUGUUUG